rnacentral:rRNA from 1 species
AUUGAACGCUGGCGGCAGGCCUAACACAUGCAAGUCGAGCGAGCGGCGGACGGGUGAGUAAUGUCUGGGAAACUGCCUGAUGGAGGGGGAUCACUACUGGAAACGGUAGCUAAUACCGCAUACCAUCGGAUGUGCCCAGAUGGGAUUAGCUAGUGGGGGGGGUAACGGCUCACCUAGGCGACGAUCCCUAGCUGGUCUGAGAGGAUGACCAGCCACACUGGAACUGAGAAACGGUCCAGACUCCUACGGGAGGCAGCAGUGGGGAAUAUUGCACAAUGGGCGCAAGCCUGAUGCAGCCAUGCCGCGUGUGUGAAGAAGGCCUUCGGGUUGUAAAGCACUUUCAGCGGGGAGGCGUUACCAACAGAAUAAGCACCGGCUAACUUCGUGCCAGCAGCCGCGGUAAUAC